rnacentral:rRNA from 1 species
AGAAGCAGCCAUCCUUUAAAGAAAGCGUAACAGCUCACUGGUCUAAACAAGGGUUCCUGCGGCGAAGAUGUAACGGGGCUAAAGACGUGCACCGAAGCUUAGGGUGUGGAUUUAUCCACGCGGUAGCGGAGCGUUCCGUAAGUCUGUGAAGCGGUCUGGUAAUGGGCCGUGGAGAUAUCGGAAGUGCGAAUGCAGACAUGAGUAGCGAUAAAAAGGGUGAGAUGCCCUUUCGCCGAAAGACCAAGGGUUCCUGCGCAAGGCUAAUCCGCGCAGGGUGAGCCGGCCCCUAAGACGAGCCCGAAGGGGGUA